UGGGAUUUUAGAGCUUCCCCCGCCCCGCCCUCCCGGAGCGCCCGCCUCCUGAGUCCCACGGAAGUGGCCUCGGGGUUCACUGCGCAUGCCCAGGAGUUUAUAAACAGACAAGCAAGAACAGAGAAUGCAAAGCUGUGUGGAGAAGCACACUCCGGCUUCAUUCAUCAACCUAAAAGGCCCUCCCUUGAACAUCAGCCUUGCAUGAAGGCUACUUUGGAUACUCCUUAAAAGUCGGAGAGCGCCCCCCUAGUGCUUUUGCAGCUCCUCCCAGCUCGUUAAGAGAGGGCUGUGUGCAUCACGGUUGUAUGACAUGUGCUUCUGCUCAAUUUUAUUUCUCCUCAUUUGAGUUUAUGCGGCACCGUGCACUUCGCUUCUCCCUCUGGAACUGGACUGUAAUCAGCUCAGUGCCUGUCUGGAUUCCCAAGGGGCCUCUGGAUUCCUUGAGGCCAAUUAUCACACUUAUUUCUGGACUUCCAGCGUCGAUCGCUUUACUGAAAACAGAAAGGUUCUCAAUAAGCAGAACUGAACGAUAUGGCAUUGUUCGGUGAGACGUGGACCUGACGGAAGGAAAGACACACCUGCUCAAGGGCCUGAACACUUCUUUUAAACUGUUGUUUAAGCGUCGUAGCGUAGCGUUAAGAGCUCCGAGCUCAGCUUCUGAAGCCACACUGCUUUCGCUUCAGUCCUGUUCCACCACCACUUGGUGGCCACUGAUCUGGGCAAGCUACUUAACUUCUCUGUGCUGCAUUUUCCUAAUCUGUAAAACGGCGUAAUGAUAGUCUCCAUUUCACAGGGUUGUUUUGAGGAAGUAAAUGAGUUAAUACAGGUUAACUUUUCACAGUACCUGCACCCAGCAGGCUCUCAGUAGUUACGAGUUAAUACCAGAAGGCUUCCUCCUUUUAGCAAAUUAAACCACAGAAUUAAAGGCCUGAAAACAGGAAUUUCCCUUCCACUGGGUUUAGGUCAACAACAUGGAAAUAAGUCUGAGACAAUCCCUCUGCAUGGGGGUGGCGGUGGGGGACAGAAAUGGCUGCUGAGACCGAGGGUGCCCUCGCUGUGAGCCUUUCCUGACGGGAGAGUGCCCCACCUCCCUCCUCACAACCAACAAGGACGUCCGCUUCUGCAGAGCAACGCUGAGGUUGGAACUUGGGUCGUGUCUGGAGGAAAAGUGAGAAUUGGAGAAGUAACAGUCCUUAAUAUUUUAUACCAUGUUGUUUUCCUAGAAAGGUAGUACAACCACCUUUAUCCCGACAGAGCCGCAGUGUGUCAGGGAGGCCUCUCUUGCCCUGGCUCUCACUUUUUCCUCUCUCCCUCCUUCUCCAUGCAUGUAUUUAUGCACAUCUACCCUUACACUAUGUACCUGGGCUGAUAAAUACAUUCACUGGAGGACAAGUAAAAUUGGACCUUUAAUAGUAAAAUAUGAAACUGAAGGCCUUCUCGUGUUAUUGUGGGGUUACAGCUCAAUGCCACAUUGUGGAGGGAGAUUUUAUUUAAUGCUUAAACUCAAUGCCUUAAAAAGCCAAGACAUUAGUUGGAUGUCUGCAAACACCUGUAACAAUGAAUAAAUGUGAACUGAUACUCUACAGAUGCAUCCAGAUACUUCCUGGUGCUGCAAAGACAUCAUGUUACCUGACUCUUGGGAAAACACUGUUAUGGAGUGACGAUCAAUGUCACUCUGUUUAGAGCAGUCGUAUGGCCAGCCAAGGCGACAGGGUGGCAAAGUAGGAUGCAGACCCACACCUUCUGCAGGAGAUCAAUGAUCCUGUCACCGUCCUAACUGCCUGUCUUCAAAUUUUUAAGAAAACACAAAUUUCAAGUUUAUUUCUGCAAAUCUAAGCAAAAUGUGAGGCCUUCAUUCCCGGCCAGCACACGGAAAGACUUACCUGGACUGGAAGCGGCCCAUGAAAAACACGAAGCGUGUAUUUCAAACAACUAAUUUUAAUUUAUUCUUUGACAUUAAUACUUUCAAUACUAAUCAAGAUGAGUCCUUUUACUCAAAUUAUAUAUUUGACAUAAAGCCCCCUGGGAAUUGAAAGGCUGCACUUAUUUUGCUGGAGCCCCUUUUCACUACUGUCCUUACAGUGGGGGGAGGGUUAGCAGCGGAACUGCAGAAAUUGGGGCCACAGCUGUAGCGUCCUGACGAUUUGAGGACUGCGGAACCCGAGACCCACAGCAUUUCUGCCCUGGAGGCACAUGCGUAGGUGCAGAGUGGAAUUACUGUCCGUGGCAAUGCUUUAAAGAUGGAGUCAACCUUUCCUUUGGGAAAAGAAAAACUCAAAGGUAAUUAAUACAUCUGAUGGAAGUGCAGUGUGAAAGCCCACAAAGGACAGAGGGGAGAACACUUUCCUGAUUUUGAGAGUGUCUAUGGCAAGAUUUCUUCUAGAGCCACUGAAAAGUUUCCAGGCUCGUCCGUGUUUGUAACGGGCACAAAACCACUGUAUCACCUAGUGCUGCAGCGGGCUGUCCCUGUUACACUCUUAAAACGUAAGCACAGACUGCAGUAUCUCUGCGCUGAGUGUGCCUGUAGAACCCAGAAUAACCCAAUCCAAGAAAACAAACAAAAACAAACCAGAAUUUGUUUAUGACUAGUAGAAUUUUGUGAAAAACUGAAUUUCAAGUUGUCAGAAAUGACUAAUUUAGGGAGCAUGAUUAAUUUUAGUACUGUCUUCCCAUUAUCUCAUUUUAUAGUUUUUGACUUGAUUCACAUUUACCAGAUAUUUCUAGGUAUAAUGCAAAUGAAUGAAAAAGUAUGUUAUUUGAUAGUGAAACAUAGUUAUCAUCUUUAUCAAUAAUCCAGACUCUCAAAAUAAGGAGCAAAUAUGUUUCAUCAUAUUUAUUCUAAAACCAUCUAUUGCUAAAUCCGCUAUACACAGUGACUUCUUUUUGUCUUUUUUUGGUAUUUAUCUGUCCAUCCGUUUUGUUCUAGUCCUAUAUUGGCCAACGUUCUAAAGUAUUCACUUUAUGUGUGUGUUUUAGAAGAGUGGGGCUUCAGCGGGCCAUGCAGAAAACGUUAUGGAAGGAACACAGCUACAUGGAUAAAAGACUCCGCUGGGGGGCAUAGCUGAGGGCUGGAAAAUAUCAUUAAUUAUUCUUAUUAAGAAAUGAUUAGUUACUAGGAUGGUCUAAAAUUUCUCUUCUGCAGUAUUUAAAACAAAAUGCUGGCAGGAUGCUAGGAAAAAUUGUAUUUGAGACCCCCAGAAAAAGCCUGCCCUCUCUGGGUACACAAAGUCAGGCCCAUUUAGCACAUUUUGAUCUUCUUCACAUUUCAGUUCAUCAUUGUAAAAAGAAUGUGAAGAGGACAACGUUUUAUUCCAAAUGCAUUUUCAAUAUAUGCACAUAACAUCUGGACACUUUAUAC